rnacentral:lncRNA from 1 species
CUUGAUGUUAACUAGAUUGAUUAAUUAUAACAACCCUGAGUUAAACAUGCUGUUCAAGAAAGAAAAUUCCAGCUAGCCUCAACUUUAAGAACCAAGACAACUAGAAUAGUGUUCAAAGACCAAUAACACUAUGAACUAUCAGAUAAUCAUGUUCUCAGAACCAGGCAGAUCUGAAUAAUGACCUCCUAAACUAUGAUAGUUGUCCACAAACAAUACAUGGAAGAGACUGAACUAAAAUGACCAUGAAAACGUAUAGAUUCAGAAUAUUACAUAAACCAAAAGGCAAACUAUAACUAGCAUACAUAUGAAGCCACAAUUUUAACACCUUAAACAUCUGAAUCUUAUAUUAUAAGCUCAAACAAAAAUGCAUUCUUUACAGCUUCGUUUGCCAUUCAAAGAAUUCAUGGGAGUACCUGGAAGUUAAGAACAAAGCAUAAAUGGAGUGAAAAUUUCAGCCAGCAAAGAUAAUAGUAGUUAGUCAGCAACAACAGUUCCAGUUUAAUCUAUAUUUGAACCAGAAAACCCAGAAAAUCCAAAGGAAAACUUCACAGUUUUUUUUCCAGAAAAAAUCCGAAGCAAAUCAAUUCAGCUCUUCUCUAUCAAACAGUGCAAAAACCUUUUGUGUAUUUUCUAGGGUUUUAAGAUCUGAAUGUAUGUGUCAUUUUCAGAAUGAGAGUAUCUAUAUAUAAGCUGCCUAGGAUGGACAUUUUUUAGGAAUAUUCCUUAUCCUAAUUCUGAAAAUAGUAUUGUCCUUUUUUAUAGCCCUGGUACAGUUGUCCCUUUUAUCCUAUUUUUUAGCAUCUUUUUACAACAACUAGGACAAUUGUACACUUUCUAGAAAGUUCUUUUUCUUAGAUAUUUUAUGAAAACUUAUCCUAAGUUUAUUUUAAUUCAAAUAAGCCCUUACAAGUUUCUACUGUUUUGCAAACUAAGGCAAACCAAUGCAACAACCGAUCAACAAAUCAAAAAAUGCAAAUUAAAAUGACAACAUAAAAGAGAUGAUGCAAUUUGAACUAAAACUAACCUAAUUGGUAGACAAAAAUAUUUAUCUAAAUUAAACCUAAACAAGACUAAAUUUAAAUGGCUAAAUGUAUUUACACAGUAACUAAACAAGAAUUGUCAGAAAACCCCCCAAAGAAAUCCUAGAAGUUAAACUACUCAAUUUAUGAAUUAACAUGCUGAAAUUUAAUUGCAGAAUGCAGGAGGGGAGCAGUUUAAACAAGAGAAAUGGAAGCAAAGACAGAAUGAACAAUUCAUCAAAAACCCUAGUUAAGCUAUACAUAUGCAAAUUGAAAUAAAAUCUUAGCAUGCUUUGAUUAAUCUAAUGAUCAAUGUGUAAACAAACAAUUAAGAAUUUUAAAAGAGGAAAAAUCCUAAAAUCAUGCGGUUAAACUGAAACAAAACAUGAAGAGGGAAAAGAAAAACCUAAACAAGGAAGGAAUAACAUAACAAAAAGGGGAUUGCCUACUCUAAACGUAAGACACGAACUGGGCUUGGUGAAUCUGGCCGGAGUUUGGAACUGAUUCUGGCAAGCUUGAAAAUAAAUCAAAAUCAAUUGUUCUCGUCAAAAGCAAUUGACUCAUGUAGGUUUGAGCCAUUAAUUCUUCUGGAAUCACUUAGUAAGACCUCUAGGGUUUCAGAUUUUCGAUAUGAAAUUGCUUGAUUUUGAGGGGCCCUUUAGGAAAACCAGUAAGAUAUUAGGUGUGAGGGGAGUGAGGAGAUGACCUGGUGAAGUUUUAGGUUAAUUUAGAGAAGUUAGGGUUUUUGGGAUUUGAAACUCAGAUUUGAAAUUCGGGGGAUUUGAGGGUGUUUUUGGGGACAUGGAUGAUGAAUUUAGGAAGAGGAGGGAACAUGGGUUAUGGGGUGUUAAUUUGGGGGUGUUUGGAGCACCGGAACCGCCGUGAGGUGAUUUCCGGUGGUGGUUAUCGGCGGAGGAUUUUAGGGCGGCGGUUUUUAAGGUUUGGUUAGAGAAGAAGAGAAUGAGAGGGGUCUGAAGGGUAUGGGGGAAAGGGUUUCGAACAAUCUUAUACGUAAACAACACCGAGUUCAGAGCCGUUGCAUCACACGA